GUCUAAAGCCAUGCCACCCUGAACACGCCUGAUCUCAUCUGAUCUCGGAAGCUAAGCCAGGGUUGGGCCUGGUUCGUACUUGGAUGGGAGACCACCUAGGAAGACCGAGUGUUGUAGAUG
rnacentral:rRNA from 1 species